CCUCUGAGGUCAUAAGUGACUUUAGAGCUAAAUAGUUCACCUGGACACAGGACUGGGGUCACAAGGACUGGGACUUCCUGGCAAAGCAAGUGGAAAUCAAGAAAAAUAACACUGUCCAUAAACCGUUUUUCUUUUUUUUUUCUUUUUUUUUUUUUCCCUCCAAAAAAGUGGAAGAGCUUGUGGGAAGUGGCAGGAGCAUCCUUCAAAAUAGACAGGACAAUACUGAAAGAAAGACUUCCUAGUCAGUCUGGCUGCUAAUCUUCUGCUGACCUCCUGCCCUGACUGUGGGUAAGCAGGUGAAGAAGGAAACAAGUAGUCUU
rnacentral:lncRNA from 12 species